UUCAGCUGAGAGAAAAAGACAGAGUUCGUCAGACGUCAUGGAGGCUUAAUAUCUUUCUGAGAACAAUCACCUUCAGCUCCAGGUAUGAAACAUACUCAGUGGUCUUCCUGAGCAAUACCUGCAACUCAGCGGUCCUGCAACCAGGCACAACCAUCUUGAGCUUCCUGAGCUUUCGCACCACCAAAUGCUGCGGAGGUCUCCUCGCUCUCAUUGCUACUCUUCUUUCCCUCCUUAUCACAGAAGCUGAGGUCUUUCUCAUUGCUGGCCAACAACCCAGUCUUGCUACACAAGCAAGCGAUGAGCAGAAGCAGAGUAUAAAUAGGCUUCAAGUCGGUUGCCAUGCAGGGAAUAGUAAGCAAAUAAGACUCUCUGGCCAUCACUUGGAGGUGACAAGUGACACUUGAAUUGCAAUGAACCAGAGAAAGGAGUGGCACAAGUAUUGUAAUGUCUAAUUCGUGGAGUUUUGCAAGAGGACACUUCAGCACAGCCUGUCAUGUGGUAUUGAAGCCGCAAUCAUUGAAAGCUGCAAAUUUAUGUAUAAACUUCAAGAAAUGUCAAUGUUAACCAUGCUUAAGAAUUAAGAUGGAGGAUGCUCUUUUCUAUUGUCAGGGUAACUUACUUUUCCAGAUAUAAUAAGAUUUCUUGUUUUAUUUCUUCAA